rnacentral:lncRNA from 1 species
AAUUGGGCUAAGAGUCCUAUAUAAAGGAAGGACGCGUCCUCCUGCUUAUAAAGUGAGGACGCGACCGACCCUUGAAGAGACUAGUCUGAACGGAAGGGCGCAGCCCUCCGUGAUAUGACUGAUCCGCCGAUGUUGCGUAUCUUAAUGAAGAGGACGCGUCCUCCGCGUCGGAAGGAGGGAUGCGUCCUCCAGGUCACACGUGUCCCAUGAAGAGGACGCGUCCUCCUGCUUAUAAAGGGAGGAUGCGAUCGACCUUUGGUGUUGCGUGAAGAGGACGCGUCCUCCUGCUUAUAAAGGGAGGAUGUGACCGACCAUUGGUGUUGCGUGAAGAGGACGCGUCUUCCGAGUCACAAGGAGGGACGCCUUACUUGAGAGUAUUGAUGGAGAGACGCGACCGACCUCCGUCCACCCACGUCGUGUAAUCUAUGGAGGAGGGCGCGCCCUCUUCGGAGGUGACCGAGGGGCGCGUCCCUUGUAAGAAGUUGACCAUGAGAUGAAGACCAAGGGCGUGCCUUUAACGGGGUGUCCUCGCCUCCCCGGGGGCGCGACCUCAUGUUAAAGAAGGACCUGUCUGAUGUGUUGUUGGAGUGGUCGAUGGGACGAGACGGCGAAGGCAAGGGCGCGCCCUCAGGGGUCGCUCCCACAUGUAAACACAUAUUGUAAGAAGGCUCUUCCUAUAGGAGAGCGUACAUUCGCUGAGACAACCCUUCCGAGGGAGACGAAGACCGCCCCUCCGGGGAUAGGAAGACCUACCCCUCCGGGGGAUAUGACGACCCCUCCGGGGGAUACGACGACUCUUCCGAGGUGUUGUAGCCGUUUUUGUAUAUCAUGUGGAGGGGAGGACGCGCCCUCCCCAGACAUGGCCCGGGAGGUGUGGUCUCUUGUCCAGUAAGGAGGAUUGAAGACAAGAUAAGGGAAGGACGCGCCCUCCCCAGACAUGGCCCGGGAGGUGCGGUCUCUUGUCCAGUAAACAGGGAUGAAGACGGGAAUUGGGAAGGACACGUCCUCCCUAUCAGGGCGCGUCCUUUGACUCAGAAGAGGCAUAGUUAUGAAAUACAUGAUGAAAGAAAGAGGAUGAGUGAGUCUCCGUGACGACCCUUCCGAGGGAUAUGAAGACUAGUUACCAAGCUCAUUUGGUAGUUAUCAGGCUCAUCUGAUAGUUCCCGGGCUCAUCCGGGCAUGAUCUACAAUCCUCAAUCCUGCUAUCUGCCGAGUUAACCCUCGUGUGGGGGCUUGAGGUGAUCAUGGCUCUUGAAGGCCCUCCGGGGUAACACGAAGGCCGAUCAUAUGUCUGGAUCCUGUAUUCUGGUGAGUUAGCCCUCAUCGGGGGAUUGAGACGAUCGUGUAAUUCGGCUCCUUGUCUACCUUGUUUGAAGAUGAAGACCUCACCGAGAGGUGAGGACGUGUCCCUGCACCUCGAGGGGUUAGCCAUGGCUCUCCCAGAUAACUUCUCCAUAAGAGUCGUGGUAGAUGCUAUCUCUCGUAGUGGAGAUAUCGUUGAAUCCGUGAUCUAUUUGGAUUAGGAGUCUGGGGUAGUCAUACUCAAGACUAAUUCUAACAGGAGUAGGAUUCUCCAAGAUGGGCCUUCGGCCUAUCUCCGACCUUAUCGCCAAGAGGCCUAGUCCUGAUCAAACUAGGACUCCUGGUUCCAUAGAACUACGUACGGCUUGAUCCCAUAUAAAUAUAGGGGUACGUAGGCACAUUGGGGGGAUCAUGAGUUGAGAGCACGUGAGACCAACUCAAAACCCUAAUCUCAGCCACCCCCUAAAACAAACAACCACCACUCUCCGGCGAACUAGUUGAGAAGGGAGAUGCUUCAAAGACGCGCCUCCUCCUAGUUGGACGCACCCCGAGUUCCAAAGUCAUGUUUCCAGGGUUGAUAAUUUGGGAGGACGCGUCUUCCCCUAACAGGGCGCGUCGUGAGGUAACACUGACCAUCAGUAUUAAGUCGUACACAUGAUAAAGUGCAGGUCAAGUCCAACAUGCUAAAGGAGCUGUCCAUCUUGAUGAGGGCGCGCCCUCCAUUCUACAGGAACGUGGCAUGAUACCUGCAAGGUCUUUGAUCAAGGUACACUUAAGGCCUUUCAAAGGUUACCAAAUUAUCCAUGACCAGCUCUGGGUACUAUGAAUUUUAACCAUCUAUGAUACGCUCUGGAUGUCAUCCACGAUCUACUCUAGAUGCUAUGAUUAUUUACCUAUCUAUGAUUCCCCAUAUGAGCCAUAAGCUCUGGGACCCGUGCGAUGCACCGGAGUUUUUUAAACCACGAUAAGAUUCGUGAUGCCUCGUAUGGGAUGAUGUAUGGACUGGGGAGUGGUCCUUUUGAAUUUCUUAAGCAAGUGAUUCACGCGUGAAAAAGUAAGGCUGCGCCAAAGGCCGCGCCCUCUACUUAAUCCUUGGAAAAGAUCAAAAGAGCCUUACAAGUAAGGCUGCGCCCUCUGCUUAUACAGUCCUUGAAAGAAAAGAAAUAUUGCAAGGCAGCGCCAUCAGCCGCGCCCUCUGCUUAGGCAAUUCUUUAACAAAAAGAAUUAAAAGGGGUCAUGUUAUAACUAGGCGGCGCCAUUCUGUAAGUCGCGCCUUAUAUUUACUAUUCCCAGAUACCAUGGACACAGUAAGGCUGAAAAAAAAGCCACAAACCUUCGCACAGCGAAGGCGCGCCCUUCUUUUGUUGAAGUUCAUUGGCGCGAAUGUUAUGGUUGAAUGUGUCAUUUGGAAGGAAUAAGCGAAGCUGCGCCACUGUCAACGACAGAUAGGCCGCGCCCCCUGUUUUCUUUUGUCUACAUAAAGAUUGCUUAUUAUUUAUGAACACAUCAAGAAGACGCGACAGCCUCAUGCUUAGCAACUUUGCUAAAUGAUCAAAGACACCGACAUUAUAUACAUGCAAGGCUUGUGCACAGCCUGCAUCUUGGAAUGUCGAGGAAUAGAAGUGGCUUACGUCACGCCUCUAUGCGCGGACGCGCUCUCGGAAGAGGAUGUGUGGUAUGGAGUAAAAAUUUCCCUGAUAUCUCCAAUAUCAAGAAAAUUUGGGGAGUACUUGUUAUAGCCAAAUUUGGCUAGGUCCUUGUUGGGCCAAGUAUGUACUUAGUUUAACUAAGUAAGACAUGAAUUGGGCUAAGAGUCCUAUAUAAAGGAAGGACGCGUCCUCCUGCUUAUAAAGUGAGGACGCGACCGACCCUUGAAGAGACUAGUCUGAACGGAAGGGCGCAGCCCUCCGUGACGCGACUGAUCCGCCGAUGUUGCGUAUCUUAAUGAAGAGGACGCGUCCUCCGCGUCGGAAGGAGGGAUGUGUCCUCCAGGUCACACGUGUCCCAUGAAGAGGACGCGUCCUCCUGCUUAUAAGGGGAGGAUGCGAUCGACCCUUGGUGUUGCGUGAAGAGGAGGCGUCCUCCUGCUUAUAAAGGGAGGAUGCGACCGACCCUUGGUGUUGCUUGAAAAGGACGCGUCCUCCGAGUCACAAGGAGGGACGCCUUACUUGAGAGUGUUGAUGGAGAGACGCGACCGACCUCCGUCCACCCACGUCCUGUAAUAUGUGGAGGAGGGCACGCCCUCUUCGGAGGUGACCGAGGGGCGCGUCCCUUGUAAGAAGUUGACAAUGAGAUGAAGACCAAGGGCGUGCCUUUAACGGGGUGUCCUCGCCUCCCCGGGGGCGCGAC